UCGAAUUUGAAAGGGGUUGUAGCUGGCCUUAAUGGCAUGUGCACACCCCGUUCACAUCCAUCUCUAACCCCUGUGAACGUUCUGUAGAUCGGUUUUUUGGGCCUUCUCUUUCGGGAGUCGGUCCUGACCCCUCUAUGUUUCAUUUAAACUCCAGUCAGUUCAGAAUGUAACGCGUCUAACGCACAUAAUA
rnacentral:misc_RNA from 1 species